rnacentral:rRNA from 1 species
UACAGAGGGUGCGAGCGUUGUCCGGAAUCACUGGGCGUAAAGGGCGCGUAGGUGGUGGCUUAAGCGUGCGGUGAAAGCUCGGGGCUCAACUCCGAGUCGGCCGUGCGAACUGCUGGGCUUGAGCACUGUAGAGGCAGGCGGAAUUCCGGGUGUAGCGGUGGAAUGCGUAGAGAUCCGGAAGAACACCGGUGGCGAAGGCGGCCUGCUGGGCAGUAACUGACGCUGAGGAGCGAAAGCGUGGGGAGCGAACAGG